ensembl:misc_RNA Metazoa_SRP Metazoan signal recognition particle RNA
GCUGGGCGUGGUGGCGCCUGCCUGUAAUCCCAGCUACCCAGGAGGCUGAGGUGGGAGGAUUGCUUGAUCCCGGGAGGUCAAGGCUGCAGUGAGCUGUGCUUGUGCCACUGCGCUCCAGCCUGAGUCAUAGAGCAAGACCCUGUCUCGU